ensembl:lncRNA novel transcript, antisense to AK3
GCCAGACCCCCCGCUUCUGCACCCACUCCCGCCUUCGCCCUUCCCUCCUUCCUCCUCCUCCUCUGCUGCCGAGCGCCCUCUCUUCCCACUCCCUCUCUGUGUAGAAUCACAGGGAGUGACCUUGAGCCGAGAGGGCCUACCUCAUUUUACAGGAGAGGAAAUCCAGCUUCCAUUGAGUGAGACUCUUUUAUAAAUAACGUAAAAGAGUGUGUGAAACUGUGGAGGCAGGCUGUUGUAGAUAGGCGGUCGGAAAAGCUUUGAAGAGAUGGCAUGUGUGCUGAGUGCUUAAUUAGAAUAUGGAAGAGAGAGACAUGGGCCCUUCCUAUGUCCAGUUUUAGGAAAAGGCCCUAAAACUGGAGGUUUGGCAUGUUUCAAGAAUGGAAACAGAGGACAAAAACGUUCGAAUGUCCUCCUCACCCCACUUGGGUUACAGAAUUCCAUGCCGACAAUUCAUCAGCCCGAUAUAUGGACGCUGUUAUCUGGCUGGGGCUCUGACACUCUAUGCUGGACCAGACCACGCCCUCCAAAGACAUCCUUCUCACCACUUCUGGGCUCUGACAUCACAGGCCAGGCUGCUUAUGACUAUGAGCAUUCUACUCACUCUGUGCAGACUCCAAAACCCUGAGCCACACUGUACUGCCGUCUACAUGGAGAAAUCUUCCUCACUCCACUCAGACUCUGGCACUUGUGCUGGGCAGCUCUCCUCUGCAGAUGCCCUCUUCUUGCAUAUAGUUUAAAUGUAGACCCAACGUGAGUCCCUGGUGGAUUCGAUGGAUUAAAGUGAGGGAAAAAAAGAGAUUUCUCCUGAGCUACUGGGAGAAUAGAAUUGUCAUUAGCUGAGAUUGGGAAGACUAUAAGAGAAACAGGUUGGGUGAAAAUAUUAGAGUUGUUUUGGAAUAAGUUAACUUCGAGAUACCUGUUGGACAUCCAGGCAGAGAAAAUAAGGAAGGAGGCAGAUGUAUAAAUUUUGACCACAGGGUAGAGGUCCAGGCUGGAGACAUAAAUUUGAGAGUUGUCAAUAUGUUUAAAUUUUUGAGAUGGUACAAGCUCACUAGGGAGCAACUUUAGAUAGAGAGGAGAGGUCUGAAAUCUGAGUUCUGAGGUUGUCUAACAUUUUGAGGUUGGAAGAUAUGGAAGAAACAUUGAAAAAACCUGAAAGAGAGGGAGAGGCCAAUUAAGAAGAAAAUUGGGUGAGUAUGGUGUCGUGGAAGUCAAUUGAAGAAUGUGUUUCAAGAAGAAUAUGAUGAAAUGAGUCAAAUUCUGCUGAUAGGUAGGACUGAGAACUGAUUGAAAAUUAUUUCUAGGCUGGGCACAGUGGCUCACGCCUGUAACCCCAGUACUUUGGGAGGCCGAAGUGGGCAGAUCAGAAGGUCAGGAGUUUGAGACCAGCCUGGCCAGCAUGGUGAAACCCUGUCUCCACUAAAAAUACAAAAAAUUAGCCAGGCAUGGUGGCGCCUGCCUGUAGUCCCAGCUACUCAGGAGGCUGGGGCAGGAGAAUCGCUUGAACCUGGCAGGUGGAGGUUGCAGUGAGCUGAGAUCGUGCCACUCUACUCCAACCUGGGUGACAG